GAUGAAGAACGUAGCGAAAUGCGAUAAGUAAUGUGAAUUGCAGAAUUCAGUGAAUCAUCGAAUCUUUGAACGCACCUUGCACCCUUUGGACUGCUCCAAAGGGUAUGCUCGUUUGAGUGUCAUUGUACUCUCACACUCUCUGAUCCUUUGGAUUUGGGGAGCAGUGGACUUGGGUGCUUACUGCUUCCUUGUGGCUCACCUGAAAUGCAUCAGUGCAUCUCUCGAUUGGACAUAGUACGGCGUGAUAAGUGUCUUCGCCGGCACCUCAUAUGAGGGUGGCCGAUCGGGAGCUCUGUGCUUUCAAACCGUCUUCGGACAACGCUGACAACUUGACCUCAAAUCGAGUAGGACUACCCGCUGAACUUAAGCAUAUCAAUAAGCGGAGGA
rnacentral:misc_RNA from 1 species